GAACGUAUGGCUUAGUGGUCAGAGCGCCUGGUCGGGUUCCAUGAGGCGCGGCUUCGAGUCCGCUACGUUCA
rnacentral:tRNA from 1 species